UACGUAGGGUGCGAGCGUUGUCCGGAAUUAUUGGGCGUAAAGAGCUCGUAGGCGGUCUGUCGCGUCGAUCGUGAAAACUUGGGGCUUAACCCUGAGCUUGCGGUCGAUACGGGCAUGACUGGAGUUCGGCAGGGGAGACUGGAAUUCCUGGUGUAGCGGUGAAAUGCGUAGAUAUCAAGAGGAACACCUGCGGCGAAGGCGGGUUGCUGGGCUGACACUGACGCUGAAGCGCGAAAGCCAGGGGAGCGAACGGG
rnacentral:rRNA from 1 species